GUCAAACCUUUGAGAAAGAGUAGUAGCCGGUCAAGCAAACCUCAAGAGAGCCCUGGGUGGUGGGAUCAGGGCGGGGCGCGGCCGGGUGAAUGGACUUUCGAGGGCGGCUUGAACGGGAAACCAAGUAGAUGCCGACGGGGACCCACCCGUUAUCCAUCGGGCACGCGUGAUGGCGCGUGAAGCGAGCGGACGUUUCCAAAACGUCAAUUUGGGUGGUAUCGCAGGAGUACAGCUCUUGUCCCAUGU
rnacentral:ncRNA from 1 species